rnacentral:rRNA from 1 species
CAGCGCCACAAGUGGGGAUCAUUAUUAUUGGGCCUAAAGCGUUCGUAGCCGGUUAAAUAAAUUUUCUGUGAAAUUGUUGGGCUUAACCUAACAGCGUGCAGAAAACACUAUUUGACUAGAGACCGGGAGGAGUUAGAGGUAUUCGAGGGGUAGCGGUAAAAUGCAAUAAUCCCACGAGGACCACCAGUGGCGAAGGCGUCUAACUAGAACGGGUCUGACGGUGAGGAACGAAGGCCAGGGGAGCGAACCGGAUUAGAUACCCGAGUAGUCC